AAGCAAAUAGCACGCUGUUAGCAUUAAAGAAAACCAACCUGGGAGAGGAGCUCCAGCCUCCUCCCAGCUCAGCCUCUGUCCCCUGCCCCUUCUCCCAGCUGCUCCGAGACCCUCGCCCUCCCUGGCUCCUCUGCUCUCCCAGCUCCUCCAGCUCUCUCCCUCCUCAUCCUCCCUGCUGUCCCUCUCCCUGUCUGCUUCCAGGACUCUGCUGGCCCCCAGGGAGCACUUUGACCUCUGCUCAGCAGCUUUGGACCAAGCCCCGCUCCAGCCUCUACUUCCCCCACCAUGGGGGCUGCUGAUCGAGGGGUCCCACCUACUCAGAAUGGGUGGCGCGAAGUCUUCCCCGUCGUCAUCCGUGUCAUCCUCCGAGCCACGCGUCUCCCCCAGGCCAUUGGGCAGCUCGGCCAUGUCCCCUCGACUCCCACCGCAGGACUCCCCCUUGUCCAGGGGACCAUCUCCAACCAUCAGAGCCACCACUGAGUGACCUCCAGGAACAGAGUGACCAACGGUUUGACUAGAACCAUGACCCUGACUGUACCAUGAGGAGCAACCAUCGGAGCCUUGGAUUCACGGGCACCUGGAAGAUUGAUCACCAGAGACACAGACAGCCCCAACUACACCAAUCAGAGGAAAAGAUGGCUAGACAAGGUAAGAGCACACACCAGACCACACACCCAGAACUCA